rnacentral:tRNA from 1 species
GCACCUAUAGCUCAACUGGAUAGAGCGUUGCUUUCCGAGGGCAAAGGCUAGAGGUUCAAGUCCUCUUAGGUGCACCA